rnacentral:rRNA from 1 species
GAUGAACGCUGGCGGCGUGCUUAACACAUGCAAGUCGAACGGGAAAUAUUUCAUUGAGUCUUAGGUGGAUUUGAUUUAUUUCUAGUGGCGGACGGGUGAGUAACGCGUGGGUAACCUGCCUUAUACAGGGGGAUAACAGUCAGAAAUGGCUGCUAAUACCGCAUAAGCGCACAGAGCUGCAUGGCUCAGUGUGAAAAACUCCGGUGGUAUAAGAUGGACCCGCGUUGGAUUAGCUAGUUGGUGGGGUAACGGCCCACCAAGGCGACGAUCCAUAGCCGGCCUGAGAGGGUGAACGGCCACAUUGGGACUGAGACACGGCCCAGACUCCUACGGGAGGCAGCAGUGGGGAAUAUUGCACAAUGGGGGAAACCCUGAUGCAGCGACGCCGCGUGAAGGAAGAAGUAUCUCGGUAUGUAAACUUCUAUCAGCAGGGAAGAUAGUGACGGUACCUGACUAAGAAGCCCCGGCUAACUACGUG